rnacentral:rRNA from 1 species
UGCGCAGGCGGAAUGAUAAGUCAGAGGUGAAAUCCCACGGCUCAACCGUGGAACUGCCUUUGAUACUGCCAUUCUUGAGUACAGUUGAAGUGGGCGGAAUGUGUCAUGUAGCGGUGAAAUGCAUAGAUAUGACACAGGACACCGAUAGCGAAGGCAGCUCACUAAGCUGUAACUGACGCUCAGGCACGAAAGCGUGGGGAGCAAACAGGAUUAGAUACCCUGGUAGUCC